rnacentral:rRNA from 1 species
GGGGAUGACGUCAAGUCAUCAUGGCCCUUACGACCAGGGCUACACACGUGCUACAAUGGCAUAUACAAAGAGAAGCGACCUCGCGAGAGCAAGCGGACCUCAUAAAGUAUGUCGUAGUCCGGAUUGGAGUCUGCAACUCGACUCCAUGAAGUCGGAAUCGCUAGUAAUCGUAGAUCAGAAUGCUACGGUGAAUACGUUCCCGGGCCUUGUACACACCGCCCGUCACACCAUGGGAGGGGGUUGCAAAAGAAGUAGGUAGCUUAACCUUCGGGAGGGCGCUUACCACUUUGUGAUUCAUGACUGGGGUGAAGUCGUAACAAGGUAACCGUAGGGGAACCUGCGGUUGGAUCACCUCCUUACCUUAAAGAA